UCGGUCGUCGCAGCGGAGGAGUAGGUGACCUGCGGACACCGGAAAAACGGAGGAAUGUGGAGAUAGCAUAUAGUCGACAAGAGAAAUCUACGAAAAACAAACAAAACUUUCAACAACGGAUCUCUUGGUUCUCGCAUCGAUGAAGAGCGCAGCGAAAUGCGAUACCUAGUGUGAAUUGCAGCCAUCGUGAAUCAUCGAGUUCUUGAACGCACAUUGCGCCCCUCGGCAUUCCGGGGGGCAUGCCUGUUUGAGCGUCGUUUCCAUCUUGCGCGUGCGCAGAGUUGGGGGAGCGGAGCGGACGACGUGUAAAGAGCGUCGGAGCUGCGACUCGCCUGAAAGGGAGCGAAGCUGGCCGAGCGAACUAGACUUUUUUUCAGGGACGCUUGGCGGCCGAGAGCGAGUGUUGCGAGACAACAAAAAGCUCGACCUCAAAUCAGGUAGGAAUACCCGCUGAACUUAAGCAUAUCAAUAAGCGGAGGA
rnacentral:rRNA from 1 species